UUUUUUUCUCAUCUUCAGUUUGCAGCUGCACCUGGGCGCUUAAACUAUUCCUUAUGUUUGUUAUAGCCUGCAAUACCUACUGAAAUCAGCAAGUGUCAGUCACGCUGUUACGUCACUCGCCGAAACAAUUCUUCAUUUACAUCUUGUGCUUUGCCGUCUAGGAUACCGCGUGCUUGCUUUGUCGCGAUUCCAGGCCCCAAGGUCCGUCGCUUGCAUCAGUUUCCCAAUUGGUGAAAUCAACAUGAUUGAAGCGCUGUCUACCACUCCCUCACCGUAUAUGAAACGGCUGCUAAAGAUAACGAUUACCCUACGGAAACGUCGACGAAUGUUCACCAGGAUGGUAAAUCCAAUUAUCGGCAAGCUACUAUUUGUGGCUAUCGGUACAAGCAUGUGGGUAUGGAUGCAGGCCUAUGUCAAAGUUCAGAUCGCCCUGUACGGAGAAAACGUUCUGAAACCUCACAAUCGAACAGUGCCGGGCGAAUUCUACAGCGAUUCCUUCGGACGACACGAAUACGCAAAUCUCACGAAUAUUACCAUGCAUUACGUAACGAAAGGCUGUCAUGACGAAGCUAGUGAGAACCGUACUGUUCUGGUUCUCUUACACGGAUUUCUCGAUUUUUGGUACAUCUGGAACAGGCAGAUACCAGUCCUCGGAGAAGAUUUCUGGUAUGUACGCCAGUGGCAAGGUGAUGACCAUGCGUUGUGGCGCCAGAUCUACGUGGCUACGGCAACACUACACGGCCGAUGGACAGCGCGCAAUACCUUAUGGUCAACCUCAUUGAGGAUGUAAAAGAACUACUCGAUAAAAUAAACCCUGGUCACAAGAGAAGAGUUGUCCUUGUGGGACACGACUGGGGAGGCAUGAUCGCCUUUUGCUUCGCAACGGUGUACGAAAAGAUGAUCGACAAAAUGGUAAUCAUCAACGGCAUGCAUCCCUUGGCUUUCUCGAAGCAGUUGUUCCGAAGCCUCAGUCAGAUGAGGAAGUCCUGGUUCAUGAUUCCUUUCCGCCAACCGAUUGUUCCCGAGCAGUACCUGAUGUUA
rnacentral:misc_RNA from 1 species